rnacentral:rRNA from 1 species
GCCUACGGGACGCAGCAGUGAGGAAUAUUGCGCAAUGGGGGCAACCCUGACGCAGCGACGCCGCGUGGAUGAUGAAGGCCUUCGGGUCGUAAAAUCCUGUCAAGUGGAAAGAAGUGCAUGGUGGCUAAUACUCAUCAUGUUUGACGGUACCACUGAAGGAAGCACCGGCUAACUCCGUGCCAGCAGCCGCGGUAAUACGGAGGGUGCAAGCGUUGUUCGGAAUUACUGGGCGUAAAGCGCGCGUAGGCGGUUUUAUAAGUCAGAUGUGAAAGCCCUCGGCUCAACCGGGGACGUGCAUUUGAAACUGUAAGACUUGAGUAUUGGAGGGGGUGGUGGAAUUCCCGGUGUAGAGGUGAAAUUCGUAGAUAUCGGGAGGAAUACCAGUGGCGAAGGCGACCACCUGGCCAAAUACUGACGCUCAUGUGCGAAAGCGUGGGGAGCAAACAGGAUUAGAUACCCUGGU